AGCAACUUGACGCAGUGGAAGCGUGCAGGGCUCAUACGAUGAAACCCUGAAGUCCCUGGAUCGAAACCAGGAGUUGCUA
rnacentral:tRNA from 1 species